UGGGGAAUUUUCCGCAAUGGGUGAGAGCCUGACGGAGCAAUGCCGCGUGAGGGAGGACGGCCUGUGGGUUGUAAACCUCUUUUCUCAGGGAAGAAGACCUGACGGUACCUGAGGAAUCAGCAUCGGCUAACUCCGUGCCAGCAGCCGCGGUAAGACGGAGGAUGCAAGCGUUAUCCGGAAUGAUUGGGCGUAAAGCGUCUGCAGGUGGCUAUGCAAGUCUGCUGUUAAAGAGUGGAGCUCAACUCCAUAAGGGUAGUGGAAACUGCGUAACUAGAGUACGUUCGGGGUAGAGGGAAUUCCUGGUGUAUCGGUGAAAUGCGUAGAUAUCAGGAAGAACACCGGUGGCGAAAGCGCUCUACUAGGCCGUAACUGACACUGAGAGACGAAAGCUAAGGGAGCGAAUGGGAUUAGAUACCCCCGUAGUCG
rnacentral:rRNA from 1 species